rnacentral:rRNA from 1 species
UACGGCCGCAAGGCUAAAACUCAACGACAUUUACGGGGGCCCGCACAAGCGGCGGAGCAUGUGGAUUAAUUCGAUGCAACGCGAAGAACCUUACCUGGGUUUGACAUGCACAGGACGCCGGCAGAGAUGUCGGUUCCCUUGUGGCCUGUGUGCAGGUGGUGCAUGGCUGUCGUCAGCUCGUGUCGUGAGAUGUUGGGUUAAGUCCCGCAACGAGCGCAACCCUUGUCUCAUGUUGCCAGCGGGUAAUGCCGGGGACUCGUGAGAGACUGCCGGGGUCAACUCGGAGGAAGGUGGGGAUGACGUCAAGUCAUCAUGCCCCUUAUGUCCAGGGCUUCACACAUGCUACAAUGGCCGGUACAAAGGGCUGCGAUGCCGCGAGGUUAAGCGAAUCCUUUUAAAGCCGGUCUCAGUUCGGAUCGGGGUCUGCAACUCGACCCCGUGAAGUCGGAGUCGCUAGUAAUCGCAGAUCAGCAACGCUGCGGUGAAUACGUUCCCGGGCGUUCACACACCGCCCGU